UUCACAGAAAGAAAUCACACAAACAAAACGUGGCAGAGAAGGAAAUUCCUUCUACGUCUCAUCAGAGCAUCCCGGAUGCUUGUGUUGCUGAAAAUGGUCAAAAGAAGAAGAGAAAAUGGAGACACCUCUGCUGUUCCUCGCAAACUGACAGCGAUGCAGAGGCAGAGAGCAACACUGUGAAGACACAAAAAAGUGUCGCUGGUUUCUUUUUAAAUUCUGGAAGAAAUUACACAAACAAAACGUGGCAGAGAAGGAAAUUCCUUCUACGUCUCAUCAGAGUGUAGCAUGCGGUGGGAAAAAAAUAGAAAGUCAAACUGGGACUAUAGACUGCUUCGGGUUUCCAAACAUCGGAAACACCUGCUACAUGAACUCCUGCCUGCAGAGCCUCCUCAACAUUGAGGAGUUCAUAAGAGACAUCAGGCGUCAGG